UGUGAGCCCGGGUCCCCACGUGCAGAGGCUGCCCUGCUGCUGCUGGUGGUCCCGUCCUCUCCCACCUUGUGUUUUUUUGGGGUGGGGGGGUGAAAGAAUUACUUCCAGGGCACAUCAACUCGUUUCCUCAUCACCCUAGAACACCCCCACCCCCAGCCCGCAGGGUUUUCACGUGAUGAUGCGGAGACACAGGAAUAGAUGAUAGAGCAGCAGAGAGAUGGAUGAGGAUGAGGAGCGUUCCCAGCGUAUAAGGACGAAGACUUCUUUCAUUAUGCCAUUGUUUGUUUAUUUGGAUUACAGUGUGGUGGUUGAUUGCA